CGGGGUACUCGAGCGGCGAACGGGUGAGUAACACGUGAGUAAUCUGCCCCUAGCUCUGGGAUAGNNCCGGGAAACCGGGAUUAAUACCGGAUAUGACCACUACGGACAUCUGUUUUGGUGGAAAGAAUUUCGGCUAGGGAUGAGCUCGCGGCCUAUCAGCUUGUUGGUGGGGUAACGGCCUACCAAGGCGACGACGGGUAGCCGGCCUGAGAGGGCGACCGGCCACACUGGGACUGAGACACGGCCCAGACUCCUACGGGAGGCAGCAGUGGGGAAUAUUGCGCAAUGGGCGAAAGCCUGACGCAGCGACGCCGCGUGGGGGAUGAAGGCCUUCGGGUUGUAAACCCCUUUCAGCAGGGACGAAGCGAAAGUGACGGUACCUGCAGAAGAAGCGCCGGCUAACUACGUGCCAGCAGCCGCGGUAACACGUAGGGCGCAAGCGUUGUCCGGAAUUAUUGGGCGUAAAGAGCUCGUAGGCGGUCUGUUGCGUCCGCUGUGAAAACUCGGGGCUUAACCCCGAGCCUGCAGUGGAUACGGGCAGACUAGAGGUAGGUAGGGGAGAAUGGAAUUCCCGGUGUAGCGGUGAAAUGCGCAGAUAUCGGGAGGAACACCGGUGGCGAAGGCGGUUCUCUGGGCCUUACCUGACGCUGAGGAGCGAAAGCGUGGGGAGCGAACAGGAUUAGAUACCCUGGUAGUCCACGCCGUAAACGUUGGGCGCUAGGUGUGGGAUCCUUCCACGGAUUCCGUGUCGCAGCUAACGCAUUAAGCGCCCCGCCUGGGG
rnacentral:rRNA from 1 species